rnacentral:rRNA from 1 species
CCGGCAGCCAAGAUCUGGGUGCCACCACCGGAGAAUCAUGCUAAGGUGAACGUUGACGCAGCCGUUAGCCGCAGCGGUCGUCAUGGGGCAGUCGCGGCCAUCAGCCGUAGCGGAGAUGGGACCUUUCAGGGGGCGUCAAUGGUCGUAUUCCAGACGGUGAUCGACCCUGCUACUUUGGAGGCCAUGGCGAUAAGGGAAGGGAUUGCCCUCUCAAUGGACUUGAACAAUCAGAACGUUCACAUAGCUUCAGAUUGCAAGAAUGUGGUACAAGAGAUCAAGGAAGGGAGGAGAUCAAGCUAUGGUGCUAUAAUCCACGAGAUUAGUCUAGGCCUUAAUGCCUUUAUUUCAUGUAAUAUAGUUUACAAAAGUAGGAGCUCGAACUUUGAGGCUCACAAUCUAGCGAAGCAUGCUUUACACUUGGGACCGGGCCGCCAUGUAUGGCUAGCUCACCCUGGAAACCUUCUGUCCGUCCCUGUAAAUGUGGUGACGAAUUAA